AAAGGAUGAACGUUGGAAGAAGAAAUACAGGGUGCACAUUGCGAGCCUUAUGACACGAACUUUUGAAGAGACUAUUUCUGUCAUAGAGAGUGCUUUUACAGUGAGCUCCAAUUCCUGGAUAUUUGAUUCAGGCGCUAGUCAACAUAUUUGCAAUACGUUGCAGGGACUAGCAGGGAGCAGGUCACUGCGCAAUGGGGAGAUGGUUGUGCGAGUUGGGAACGGCACUAAAAUCUCUGCAAAAGCAAUAGGCACCUACACUCUUAACCUACCCUUUGGGGAAGUCCUGGAACUUAAAAAUUGUUUAUAUUUUCCUUCAUGUAU
rnacentral:lncRNA from 1 species